CUUCCAUCACAGAGCUUUUGUCCCACGUUCUCAUCAGAAAACUAGACGCUGAACACAUGGGAAGGGGGGGCUGCAGGAGAACCUCAGUGCAGUUAGAAGAGCUUCAAGUCUGGACUCCUCCUCCUUCAUCGUCGUGAGAACAUUCAGAACCCUUCGACGCUGGCUACUCCUCUUCAUCAUGAUGCAGUCCUCCUAUGCCGCGAUUGGACUCCUCCUCCUUCUAGCUGGCUUCACAGCAGCAGGUUCGGAGUCUGACUUGCGGCCUCGAGCGGUGCGUUCGAGUGUCUGUCAAGAACACACAGAUCUUCACAGCCGCCUGGACGCAGUGGAGAAGAGGAUGGAGAGCACAGUGGAGAACCUGGAGGCCGAGCUGGCUGCUCUCCUGGAUGCCAUCCAUGACCCACAGUGGAGCCCCCUGCUGGACAAACCCGGACAGACAGCGGUGGACAUCCUGCAGGACCCAGAGCAGAGGGGCCGGUCCUGA
rnacentral:lncRNA from 1 species